ACAGGUANGGGUGGUCGGAACGGUAGGUGGAGUGGUGAAAUGCGUUGAUAUCUACCGGAACGCCAAAGGAGAAGUCAGGCCACUGGGCCUGUUCUGACGCUGAGACACGAAAGCGUGGGGAGCGAACGGGAUUAGAUACCCCGGUAGUCCACGCCGUAAACGAUGUGCACUAGGUCGGGGAAGUUCUGACACUCAUCCCGGCCGAAGCAAAAGUGUUUAGUGCACCGCCUGGGGAGUACGGUCGCAAGGCUAAAACUCAAAGGAAUUGACGGGGGCUCACACAAGCGGUGGAGCAUGUGGCUUAAUUCGAAGCAACGCGAAGAACCUUAUCCUGGGUUUGACAUGUACGGAUUAACUCCCCGAAACGGGAGCGACGCCUUCGGGUGGAACGUACACAGGUGUUGCAUGGCUGUCGUCAGCUCGUGCUGUGAAGUGUCGGGUUAAGUCCCUUAACGAGCGCAACCCCUAUCGCUAGUUGCCAACGCGUAAUGGCGGGGACUCUAGCGAGACUGCCGGUGUUAAACCGGAGGAAGGUGGGGACGACGUCAAGUCCGCAUGGCCUUUAUGCCCAGGGCUGCACACGUGCUACAAUGGCAGGUACAGAACGAUGCAAUACCGCGAGGUGGAGCAAAUCGCAAAAACCUGCCCCAGUUCGGAUUGGAGGCUGCAACUCGCCUCCAUGAAGUUGGAAUCGCUAGUAAUCGGGGAUCAGCAUCCGCGGUG
rnacentral:rRNA from 1 species